AUCGAACGCUGGCGGCAGGCCUAACACAUGCAAGUCGAACGAGUGGCGGACGGGUGAGUAAUGUCUGGGAAACUGCCCGACGGAGGGGGAUAACUACUGGAAACGGUAGCUAAUACCGCAUACCAUCGGAUGUGCCCAGAUGGGAGUAGCUAGUAGGUGGGCUAAUGGCUCACCAAGGCGACGAUCCAUAGCUGGUCUGAGAGGAUGACCAGCAACACUGGGACUGAGACACGGUCCAGACUCCUACGGGAGGCAGCAGUGGGGAAUAUUGCACAAUGGGCGCAAGCCUGAUGCAGCCAUGCCGCGUGUAUGAAGAAGGCCUUCGGGUUGUAAAGUACUUUCAGCGAGGAGGCGUUACUCGCAGAAGAAGCACCGGCUAACUCCGUGCCAGCAGCCGCGGUAAUAC
rnacentral:rRNA from 1 species